rnacentral:lncRNA from 1 species
CUGCAAAACUCUGCCAUGAUAGAAGUCAAGAUAGCUUCAGCAAAAUUUCUGCAACACAUUUCAUUUCACAUUUCACCUUCUUAUACACGCAUGCCCCUCGAUUAGCUAUACCUCUUCAGCCACAACACGGUGCUUGGAUUUUGAACAAACAAUUUAAUCAAAGCCAUCUUCAAUUUGUUGAUGAGCAUGGGCGAACCACACAAAUGGUCCUCCAAGUUUGUGAAUUUUGAUAAUUUAACCCUUAUACUGUAGGUGGAGACGAAAUAACACCACAAUUAUUUUCCAAAGGAAACCGUGUAUCAAGUUCAAAGAAACUAAGAAAUUAACUGGUUAUUCACAGUAUGAGAGGUACGACAUAAAGAUCCCAACAUGAUUAUUCGAGGGGAGACCCCAUUAAUAUGCUGAAGAGCUGAACAAAACCAGAAAAUACAAAAAGGGGGGCUCAGAUCUAUGAGAGUAGCCAUGGUCAAUAAAUGUUUGGAUUUGAAAAAAGAGGAAAUAAUGAAAGAAAUAUUUGGGGCAGUUACCUGACUUAAAACACGAAUGAGAAAACAUGUAAGAACCUUGAGGCUGCCCCAUUGUUCAACUCUAGGCCGGGUGAAAUUGAGCUCUCACGCAUUUCUGCCAUUUUUAAAGCGAGAGCCCAUUGGAUCGGCCAAAUUUUGAAAAGCAAAAGUUUCUAAAACAACAAGAAGAGAAAAUAAUGAUGGAGAUGUAGAACACCUUCCAUGCAACUGCAAGAGAGAGAAUAAACCUGCUUGCAAGGAUCAAUGGAAGGAAUCAUGGGAGUUACUGUAUGCCCGCAACGGAACAAGAGCGGCAUGAAGGAUAUUCACGCUCUGUUCUCUCAAAGGCAG